rnacentral:rRNA from 1 species
AGUGAACGCUGGCGGUAGGCCUAACACAUGCAAGUCGAACGGCAGCACAGGAGAGCUUGCUCUCUGGGUGGCGAGUGGCGGACGGGUGAGGAAUACAUCGGAAUCUACUCUGUCGUGGGGGAUUACGUAGGGAAACUUACGCUAAUACCGCAUACGACCUACGGGUGAAAGCAGGGGACCUUCGGGCCUUGCGCGAUUGAAUGAGCCGAUGUCGGAGUAGCUAGUUGGCGGGGUAAAGGCCCACCAAGGCGACGAUCCGUAGCUGGUCUGAGAGGAUGAUCAGCCACACUGGAACUGAGACACGGUCCAGACUCCUACGGGAGGCAGCAGUGGGGAAUAUUGGACAAUGGGCGCAAGCCUGAUUCAGCCAUACCGCGUGGGUGAAGAAGGCCUUCGGGUUGUAAAGCCCUUUUGUUGGGAAAGAAAUCCAGCUGGCUAAUACCCGGUUGGGAUGACGGUACCCAAAGAAUAAGCACCGGCUAACUUCGUGCCAGCCGCCGCGGUAA